rnacentral:ncRNA from 1 species
GGCAGCUUGCCCCGAUUGGGGGUGUUCACAUGCUUCAACAAAUUCUCACGUUGGUUGUCGCCCCUAUCUUGGUGGGGAUAGUCAUUGAACUAUUUGCUUAUUGGCUAGAUAAGCGAGAUGACAACUAAGCAAGUUGUCACUAGUCCACACGCUUGGAGUCGCAACAAGCGCAAAA